UUCCCUGGCGACCUCGGUCUAGGUGGGGGCUCCGCCCCUCCGCGGGGCCACCCCAUGCUGGACCGAGCCGAGUCGAGUGAGGAGCUCCCCGUGAGUCAUGGGGAGAGGCAUCGGGGGGGAAGGACCAUCGGAGUAGCCCCCGUCAUCGCCAGGCCAGGCUCCUGCCCCGAGCUACUGCACCGCCAGGUCCUGCAGGAAAAGGCCUCCUAAGUGGCUUCCCCCAGGCCCGAACCUCGGUUGGGUGUGCUGGGGCUGCCCCGGCCAGCUGGGGCCCGCUGCAGGCUGCUGCCCGGCUCUCGGAGGGGCCACCCCGGGCUGCUUCUUGCCUGAGCCCAGUCGCGGGAGGAGAGGCGCUGCACGCCCGAUGCCUGGUGGGGCGUGCCGCGGGUUCCCUGGCCAUCUCGGGCUAGCUGGAGGCUGCCGCCCCUCCGCGGCGCCAAAUCUUGCUGGACCGAGCCGAGUCGAGUGAGGAGCUGCCCGUGAGUCAUGGCGGGGGGCACGGGGAAGGCCCAUCGGAGUACCCCGCGUCGUCGCCAGGCCAGGCUCCCACCCCAAGCUGCUGGACCGCCUGUUCCUGGAGGAAAAGGCCUCCUCACUGGCUUCC